rnacentral:piRNA from 2 species
UCACAACAACUGUGUGGAGGUAUAGGUGUCU